rnacentral:ribozyme from 1 species
CAACAAAAACACACAAGCAGAACGCACAAAUGCACACACAAAGCGCACAAAGCUCUCACAUAGACGGCGUUGGAUUUUUUUUUUUUUUUUUUUUUUUUUUU